rnacentral:lncRNA from 1 species
AAACUUUUGCUUACAAUAAUAAUAUUUCAACUAUGCUCCUGCGGGCUAAAAUUUUGUUCAUUUACAACAUAUACAAUCGUUAUACGGCUAAAAUAAAUACCCGAAACAAUACAACACACCAACAUGCUACUACAUUUGGCAAUCGAACCUCCAAUUCGCAAAUACUAAAUUCAGCUGUACCAUGACUUCUGACUACUUUCAUGAUCGCGACCUACUACCAACGGGUUCCCCUCAUCAAGGCAACCUAAACCAUGGUCAAACAACAAAACAACCUCCAAUCAAUCUGCUGCACCGUCCAUGUUGUGAUUGUUGAGGCUGAAUGCAAAGGCAUUUGAUCAACAAUUGGAUCAAUUAAAUGGUUACCCAUUGUCAUCUAAAUGUUAAUUUGAUUUCCUCCAACAGAAUUUGUGUAUUGGACUAUGUGGGAGCCAUCAAUUGAAUGGGAGAAAAUCGCCUCUGUCACGCAUGACCUGUGCAAGAAAGCCCAGAAACUUAUUGUUUUCCCUUUGUUUGAUGAAUUCUCUCGAUGGAGUUGUGCUCUGGAGUGUGCGACCCUAUCGGUGGUGAUCCAUGAAGAUCGGUGUCGUCGGAAGAGGUGGUGCAGCCACUUUUUGUAUUUUUACUGAUUUCUGUCAAAUAUGUUAGCGGGGACUGAUUGUUGGAUGGUAUGUGUAGAGGAAAGUCGGGGCUGUCCAAAGGUAUGGAAGCUCGGCGACCUAGGUAGUUGUUGGCCAACGUUUGUUAGGUGGCGAUGGCGGUGGUGAAUGGUGGUGGUGGAAGAGAAAGAAGGAAAGAAAAUGGUUUUUGUUUUUUAAAAUUUUGAUUUUUAAAAUUAUUUAUUUGGGA